GGGGAAUAUUGGACAAUGGGCGAAAGCCUGAUCCAGCCAUGCCGCGUGAGUGAUGAAGGCCCUAGGGUUGUAAAGCUCUUUUGUGCGGGAAGAUAAUGACGGUACCGCAAGAAUAAGCCCCGGCUAACUUCGUGCCAGCAGCCGCGGUAAUACGAAGGGGGCUAGCGUUGCUCGGAAUCACUGGGCGUAAAGGGUGCGUAGGCGGGUUUCUAAGUCAGAGGUGAAAGCCUGGAGCUCAACUCCAGAACUGCCUUUGAUACUGGAAGUCUUGAGUUCGGGAGAGGUGAGUGGAACUGCGAGUGUAGAGGUGAAAUUCGUAGAUAUUCGCAAGAACACCAGUGGCGAAGGCGGCUCACUGGCCCGAUACUGACGCUGAGGCACGAAAGCGUGGAGAGCAAACA
rnacentral:rRNA from 1 species